rnacentral:siRNA from 1 species
CGACGAAGUCCCGAGGAAGCAGCA